rnacentral:rRNA from 1 species
UACGUAGGGUGCAAGCGUUAUCCGGAAUUAUUGGGCGUAAAGAGCUCGUAGGCGGUUUGUCGCGUCUGCUGUGAAAACUGGAGGCUCAACCUCCAGCUUGCAGUCGAUACGGGCAGGCUAGAGUUCGGUAGGGGAGACUGGAAUUCCCGGUGUAGCGGUGAAAUGCGUAGAGAUCGGGAGGAACACCAGAGGCGAAGGCGGCUCACUGGACAGUUACUGACACUCAACUACGAAAGCGUGGGGAGCAAACAGG